UAUCUCUGUAGAGUCUGCAUAUCAAUAAGCGGAGGAAAAGAAACUAACUAGGAUUCCCUCAGUAACGGCGAGUGAAGCGGGAAGAGCUCAAAUUUGAAAUCUUCAAGGUUCUACCUUGACGAAUUGUAGUUUAAAGAAGUGUUUUCUGUUGGAGUUUUGGUAAAAGUUCUUUGGAAUAGGACAUCAUAGAGGGUGAGAAUCCCGUAUUUGACCAUUAUUUCCAGCUUUGUGAUACACUUUCAAAGAGUCGGAUUGUUUGGGAAUGCAGUCCAAAAUGGGUGGUAAAUUUCAUCUAAAGCUAAAUAUUGGCGAGAGACCGAUAGCGAACAAGUACCGUGAGGGAAAGAUGAAAAGAACUUUGAAAAGAGAGUUAAACAGUACGUGAAAUUGUCAAAAGGGAAGCGUUUGACACCAGUGUUGUUUUCUCGAAAAUCAAUUAAAAAAGACUGGAUUUUGUGUUGUAUUGACUUUAUCAGCUUUCUGCACUCUUUUCUUGUCUUUUUUAAUGCACUUUUCGCUUAACAAGUCAACAUCAAUUUCUUUUGUUGUAAAAGGGUCAUUGGAAGGUGGCUUUCUUUUCGGAGAAAGUGUUUAUAGCCUUUGGCCUCUGCAAUCGGAGAGAUUGAGGUCUGCAGCGUAGAUCCUUCGGGGUUAGAUACAUUUGUGCUAAGUUAUAGCCUUUCAUAGACAACUUGUUGACUAUGAUCAGUCAUGUAGCUUACUCGCUUAUGCUAUUUUACCUACGCUUAGGAUGUUGAGUCAUCACACAUCUCU
rnacentral:rRNA from 1 species